UUGGGAACAUGCCUUGAGGUGGGGGACAACAGUUGGAAACGACUGCUAAUACCGCAUAAUGUCUACGGACCAAAGGGGGCUUCGGCUCUCGCCUUUAGAUUGGCCCAAGUGGGAUUAGCUAGUUGGUGAGGUAAUGGCUCACCAAGGCGACGAUCCCUAGCUGGUUUGAGAGGAUGAUCAGCCACACUGGGACUGAGACACGGCCCAGACUCCUACGGGAGGCAGCAGUGGGGAAUAUUGCACAAUGGGCGCAAGCCUGAUGCAGCCAUGCCGCGUGUGUGAAGAAGGCCUUCGGGUUGUAAAGCACUUUCAGUCAGGAGGAAAGCGUGGUGGUUAAUACCCAUCAUGUGUGACGUUACUGACAGAAGAAGCACCGGCUAACUCCGUGCCAGCAGCCGCGGUAAUACGGAGGGUGCGAG
rnacentral:rRNA from 1 species